rnacentral:rRNA from 1 species
CACGCCGUAAACGAUGAGUGCUAGGUGUUAGACCCUUUCCGGGGUUUAGUGCCGCAGCUAACGCAUUAAGCACUCCGCCUGGGGAGUACGACCGCAAGGUUGAAACUCAAAGGAAUUGACGGGGGCCCGCACAAGCGGUGGAGCAUGUGGUUUAAUUCGAAGCAACGCGAAGAACCUUACCAGGUCUUGACAUCCCCCUGACCGCUCUAGAGAUAGAGUUUUCCUUCGGGACAGAGGUGACAGGUGGUGCAUGGUUGUCGUCAGCUCGUGUCGUGAGAUGUUGGGUUANNNNNNNCAACGAGCGCAACCCCUAUUGUUAGUUGCCAUCAUUCAGUUGGGCACUCUAGCGAGACUGCCGGUAAUAAACCGGAGGAAGGUGGGGAUGACGUCAAAUCAUCAUGCCCCUUAUGACCUGGGCUACACACGUGCUACAAUGGCUGGUACAACGAGUCGCAAGCCGGUGACGGCAAGCUAAUCUCUUAAAGCCAGUCUCAGUUCGGAUUGUAGGCUGCAACUCGCCUACAUGAAGUCGGAAUCGCUAGUAAUCGCGGAUCAGCACGCCGCGGUGAAUACGUUCCCGGGCCUUGUNC